AGAUACUAGGGAAAGCAUCGGUAAGGCUGCGUACAACAUCCCUCCCCCAUACCUUCGCAUAGCGAAGAGCCUCUGGGCAAUGGGGUACGAAGUUUUUACUAGGGAAAGCAUCGGGUGGAGGAGUUAUACCAGUUAGUGCAGUUCUUGCAGACAAAGAUGUGAUGCUUUGUAUACAACCGGGACAGCAUGGAAGUACCUUCGGUGGAAAUCCACUGGCCAGUGCAGUUGCAAUUGCCUCACUAGAAGUGAUAAAAAAUGAGAGACCCGUUGAGAGGUCGAUAAGCUUCUGUCCCCAGAGUUUCAACCUUCUAUAGAGUAGCUGAUCCAUUUUCUUCCUACAACUCGUCAAAUCUUGAUGUUUUCAGCAACAUUUCCUGUUACUGUAAAGGAUUUCAAGGAUAGGUAUCUUCAAAAUUUAUAGUGGAAAUAUGAAGAGCUUGACUUGUUGCCUUUGCUUGUUGUAUAAAAGUAAAAUAGAAAUAUAUUCUUAUUUCCUCAUUGGUAGUAUUUAAGUAUGGCUACUGGUUAUUCUUUUCAUGGAACAGAAAUUUUUUGAAGCCC